rnacentral:rRNA from 1 species
GUCAGGCGGGGCCACCCGCCGAGUUUAAGCAUAUAAAUAAGCGGAGGAGAAGAAACUUACGAGGAUUCCCCUAGUAACGGCGAGCGAACCGGGAUCAGCCCAGCUUGAGAAUCGGGCGGCCGCGCCGUCCGAAUUGUAGUCUGGAGAAGCGUCCUCAGCGACGGACCGGGCCCAAGUCCCCUGGAAAGGGGCGCCGGGGAGGGUG